UCUUGAUCUCAGAUCAGGCAGGAUGACCCGCUGAACUUAAGCAUAUCAGUAAGCGGAGGAAAAGAAACUAACCAGGAUUCCCUUAGUAACGGCGAGUGAAGCGGGAAUAGCCCAAUCUGAAAAGCUGGUCAGCCCCGGUGCUGGUCCCGCAUUGUAGGUUGAUGGGGCGUUACCUAGUGUCAAGCCUUUCGAUUAAAGUUCCUUGGAACAGGACGUCAAAGAGGGUGAAAACCCCGUGGAUAAUCGAAUGACAUACCAGCUUGAUGCGUCUACGGUGCGUCUCCUUAGAGUCGGAAUGUUUGGGAUUGCAUUCCAAAAUGGGUGGUAAACUCCAUCUAAGGCUAAAUACUGGCGAGAGACCGAUAGCGNACAAGUACCGUGAGGGAAAGUUGAAAAGCACUCUGGAGAGAGAGUCAAACAGUACGUGAAAUUGCUAGCAGGGAAACGUUGGGCACCAGUACGCGGCAAUCAAUGUCGAUGAUCAGCCGGGCGGAUGAGAGAAUCAGUGCGUGGUGUUUACUUUGGAGACUAUCCUCGGAUGGCUCACGCGUAAUGAAUCUUUCAGCCACCGGUGCACUCUUCGGCAGCCGGGUCAACAUCGGUUAAUGACGUUCGAUAAGCCAUUGAGCAAGGUAGCAUUGUCAGGUUCUGCUUGACAUUGAACUUAUAGGCUCAGUGUGCGAGGAUGUUGUUGACCGAGGCGGCAUUCGGUUCGCGCGCUUCGGCGCAGGGCGUAUGGAUGAGGUCGAGGCCGCCCGUAGCAUUAGGCAGCAUGCUGACUAGUGUUUAUUUUGUCGUGUUUACACGGCAGUGGUGGUCGUCUCGUCUAUACAAGCCACUAGCGAGCCUAUGACGGUUGACGAAAUGGUAUUCAACGACCCGUCUUGAAACACGGACCAAGGAGUCUAACAUGUCUGCGAGUGUUUGGGUGGUAAACCCGAACGCGGAAUGAAAGUGAAGAGGCAGGUUUCGUACCUGCCCACUGGUAGGAAUCGAAGCACUUCGGUGCGACGAGGCACUACCGACCGACCUGUUGCCCUCUGUGGUGGUAGGUUUGAGUUGGAGCAGUCCUGUUAGGACCCGAAAGAUGGUGAACUAUGCCUGAGCAGGAUGAAGCCAGAGGAAACUCUGGUGGAGGUCCGUAGCGGUUCUGACGUGCAAAUCGAUCGUCGGACUUGGGUAUAGGGGCGAAAGACUAAUC
rnacentral:rRNA from 1 species